rnacentral:rRNA from 1 species
GAUGUCCCGCUUGCGGGACGGAUUAGUGGCGAACGGGUGAGUAAUACGUGAGUAACCUGCCCCUGACUCUGGGAUAAGCCUGGGAAACCGGGUCUAAUACUGGAUACUACCUCCCGCCGCAUGGUGGGUGGUGGAAAGGGUUCUACUGGUUUUGGAUGGGCUCACGGCCUAUCAGCUUGUUGGUGGGGUAAUGGCUCACCAAGGCGACGACGGGUAGCCGGCCUGAGAGGGUGACCGGCCACACUGGGACUGAGACACGGCCCAGACUCCUACGGGAGGCAGCAGUGGGGAAUAUUGCACAAUGGGCGCAAGCCUGAUGCAGCGACGCCGCGUGAGGGAUGACGGCCUUCGGGUUGUAAACCUCUUUCAGUAGGGAAGAAGCGAAAGUGACGGUACCUGCAGAAGAAGCGCCGGCUAACUACGUGCCAGCAGCCGCGGUAAUACGUAGGGCGCAAGCGUUGUCCGGAAUUAUUGGGCGUAAAGAGCUCGUAGGCGGUUUGUCGCGUCUGCUGUGAAAGCCCGGGGCUCAACCCCGGGUCUGCAGUGGGUACGGGCAGACUAGAGUGCAGUAGGGGAGACUGGAAUUCCUGGUGGUAGCGGUGAAAUGCGCAGAUAUCAGGAGGAACACCGAUGGCGAAGGCAGGUCUCUGGGCUGUUACUGACGCUGAGGAGCGAAAGCAUGGGGAGCGAACAGGAUUAGAUACCCUGGUAGUCCAUGCCCGUAAACGUUGGGCACUAGGUGUGGGGGACAUUCCACGUUCUCCGCGCCG